rnacentral:snoRNA from 1 species
GGCCUCCUGGUGGCUUUCUUUGGGCUGGUUGUUCUUUGUACUGUCUGUAUAAAAAGAGGAAGCAGAGAAACCCUUUCCUCCCUUCAUCUGUUCUUGAUCUAUUUUGGUAUCAAGAACACAGGUUUAAAAGUGAGAGAGGGAAUAAAAUA